GGAGGGUUGUCCGAGUGGUUUAAGGAGACGGUUUGCUAAAUCGUUGCUGCGAAAGCGGCUCGUGGGUUCGAAUCCCACACCCUCCG
rnacentral:tRNA from 1 species